AUGUCGGCCUUCAGCCGGCAGGAGGUCGAGGAUAGCAAAGGAGUUCAGGCGCAGCACAUCAUCCAGACGGUUCUCGUGCUCUGGCUCCUCGUCAGCCGGAGCGACGUCUCCGAGGACGGGGUGAUCUUGCUCCUCUACUUCGUCCUAUGCUGGGUGUAUAGCAUCUUGAGGGUCGCCCAGAGGAUGAAGGCGCUGCGCAAGGCCAGCUCGAUGCACGGCCUAGUGCGCAGCGCCAAGGUGGUGGCUGACUACAUGCAAGAUGUGUAUGCCUCUGGCUCCGGUGAUAGGAUUCAUAGCCCCAUGGACAUGGCUAAGUGCAAGUAUCUGGUCCUCGGUGAGGAAAAGGACUCCAGACCACCGUCCAAGGCGCCCUGCUACCUCUCAGAGGUGGGCGGCAAGGGCAAGCUCGUCACGUUCGACAUGAUCUGGAAUAGCAAGGACAAGCUGCUGCUGAGUCCUACUCCUGAUGAUGACCAGAAGCCUGUGCCUCUGAAAGAUACUUGUCUUUCCUUCGCCUUGUUCAAGUUGCUCAGCCGGCGCUUCUGCCCGGGGCUCCCCAUCGCCGAGGAGGGUGACCAGGAGGCGCUGAAAUUCGUCCUCGCCGAGGGCAAGCAUGCCUUCCGUCUCGUGGAGGUCGAGUUGUCGUUCCUGUAUGACUUCUUCUACACCAAGUACCCGGCGCUCUUCCCCGCCGCCCUAGCGCUCCGCAUCAUCCGUUUUGUCGUCCUUGUUGGCUUGUUCAAGGUGCUCCUCUUAGAUUUUCCUUUGGAUGCCAUCAUAAUGUACACCGACCUCAGUCUCCCCGCGGAGUUGCUUGAGGAGGCCACGGGGUACUCCUCCAGUCACGCAGCUGUCUUCAUCCUCUUCAACAACGUUCUCGUCGUCUUCAUGAUCCUUAGCAUCGACAUCCUGCAAGACUUUGCCACGGGUUACUCAAACUGGGCCAUUGUACACUAUGUGUGCGACUACGUCUACAUGAGAAGGAGGACAGACGGUGACGGCGGCAAGGGGUGGUGGAUGAUGGUGAAGCGGUGCUGGAACCGGGGCUUCGGCAUUCGUCGAGUGCUCAUUAAAUGGGUGGCGGCACGCCGGGCAAAGAAGUCGGCGCACUGGUGGGAUAACAAGCUCGGCCAGUACUCGCUGCUCAACUCUUGCGGCUACACCGCGCACAAGACGAAUGCUUUCUCCCUGUUGACCCUACGCCUGCUGGAGAAGACAGGAGAAGGCCGGAAGCGAGAAGGAUGUCACCCUGUCGGACGAAAUUAA
rnacentral:rRNA from 1 species